UACGGGGGGGGCAAGCGUUGUUCGGAUUUACUGGGCGUAAAGGGCGCGCAGGCGGCUCAUUUUGUCAGGCGUGAAAGCCCCGGGCUUAACCUGGGAGGUGCGUUUGAUACGGAUGGGCUAGAGUUCGGGAGAGGAGAGUGGAAUUCCCAGUGUAGUGGUGAAAUGCGUAGAGAUCGGGAGGAACACCUGUGGCGAAGGCGGCCGGCUGGGGGUGCCCUGACGCUGAGGCGCGAAAGCGUGGGGAGCGAACCGG
rnacentral:rRNA from 1 species